UACGGAGGGUGCGAGCGUUAAUCGGAAUUACUGGGCGUAAAGCGCACGCAGGCGGUCUGUCAAGUCGGAUGUGAAAUCCCCGGGCUCAACCUGGGAACUGCAUUCGAAACUGGCAGGCUAGAGUCUUGUAGAGGGGGGUGGAAUUCCAGGUGUAGCGGUGAAAUGCGUAGAGAUCUGGAGGAAUACCGGUGGCGAAGGCGGCCCCCUGGACAAAGACUGACGCUCAGGUGCGAAAGCGUGGGGAGCAAACAGG
rnacentral:rRNA from 1 species